GAUGAACGCUGGCGGCGUGCCUAAUACAUGCAAGUCGAGCGAACAGAUGAGGAGCUUGCUCCUCUGACGUUAGCGGCGGACGGGUGAGUAACACGUGGAUAACCUACCUAUAAGACUGGGAUAACUUCGGGAAACCGGAGCUAAUACCGGAUAAUAUAUUGAACCGCAUGGUUCAAUAGUGAAAGACGGUUUUGCUGUCACUUAUAGAUGGAUCCGCGCCGCAUUAGCUAGUUGGUAAGGUAACGGCUUACCAAGGCAACGAUGCGUAGCCGACCUGAGAGGGUGAUCGGCCACACUGGAACUGAGACACGGCCCAGACUCCUACGGGAGGCAGCAGUAGGGAAUCUUCCGCAAUGGGCGAAAGCCUGACGGAGCAACGCCGCGUGAGUGAUGAAGGUCUUCGGAUCGUAAAACUCUGUUAUUAGGGAAGAACAAAUGUGUAAGUAACUAUGCACGUCUUGACGGUACCUGAUCAGAAAGCCACGGCUAACUACGUG
rnacentral:rRNA from 1 species